GCCUGGGUGGCUCAGUCGGUUAAGCGUCCGACUUCAGCUCAGGUCAGGAUCUCACGGUCUGUGGGUUCGAGCCCCGCGUCGGGCU
rnacentral:tRNA from 1 species